UAUUACUUUUUGAUAGGUCCAUGUAUAUAUUUCUUCAUCAUCUAACCAGAAAAAUAAAAUAAAAAGUUAACAUCAAUCCUAAAAAAUGGCCUCUCGUACCUAUCAACCUCGUUUUUGUUUAAUUUUGUGUUUUGCGUUCAUUUUGCUUUCAGGUUUCGCAAUGAGUCUUGAUCCGGCAUUUGUGUGCGCUGGGAGUUGCAAAGAUGUUGAAAGAUGCAAUCAAUUUUGUUUUAGUAAGGGCUUUAAGAAAGGUGGAUUUUGUGAUGUUUUCACUCCAGAUAACAAAUGUUGUUGUCAAUAACGUUAUUAUUGUGCUAUCCAAUGCAACUAUUUAAAUAAAACACAGAUAGUUUGGAAUUUUCUAUAA